CAGUCUUGAAAGAUGGGAAGAUCAGGAGCAGUCUGGAGUCAUGGUAUAUGAAUGAACUAGUGAGAGUGGGCACAAAGUCUGAAGAUCUUUGUGGUGCAGCUAAUGUCUAAGGGAGAAUAUACCUACCCUAGAAGAGACAUUAAACAACCAGUUCAACCAAUCUACAAAGGCCAAAAAUAUUUUCACAGGCCCCCAAAAGAUGAACUCCAAUCUGCUGCCCCUAAAUGCAUUCUCCACUGUCUGGAAGAUGUGCAAAGGCAACGGCACAGCGUUCUCCAUCUCAAAUCCUUCAAAGUGCUGUCAGAAUAAAAGAAUCCCCACCAAAAGCCCCAGGGAAAUCUAUCUGUCUGUAUGGUAUGGUAAUGACUGAGGUUAUUCCAGAUAGGAUUCUUGGAGAAACUCAGCUAUUGAAAUCUAAUGAAUGGAACUGAGAAUUUCUUGUUAUAAUACUGUUUCUUUGAUUGAAUAUAUCCUUGCAUAUAAGAAGACAUAAAAAUAAAUAAUAAAAACAA
rnacentral:lncRNA from 1 species